rnacentral:tRNA from 1 species
GACCUUGUAGCUCAGCUGGUAGAGCAACAGACUCUUAAUCAGUGGGUCGAGAGUUCGAGCCUCUCCGGGGUCA